GGACUGGGGCACGAACCCGUGUCCCCUGCAUCGGCAGGCGGACUCUCAACCACUGCGCCACCAGGGAAGCCCAUAUUGUUAUAUUUUAAAUUACAGUUAUUAAGCAGUGUGGUACUAAUCCAGGAAUCAAUAAAGUGAAUCCAGAAAUUAUAUCCUAAAUAUUAGUCAUAUAUAUAUAAUAUAUACAAAUAAAUUAAGUAUAUGACAAAGAUAUAUUUCCUAUUUCUAGUCAAUGGGAGAAUACAGAUUUUUCAAUGUAUAGUGCUGUGUAAAUUGAUUAGCCAUUUGAAAUAUGUAUAAUAUCCAUAGAAAUAUAUGUAUUCCUACUUCAUAUCAUAUUAAAUAAUUAUGAAGAACAUGAAAUUUUAUAUAUAAAAGUAAAAACAUUGAAAUAAUAGGAGAAAAUCUUCGAAAAUACAAUCUUUGAAGCAAAGUUUUUGUUAGCAUGAACUAAAACCAGAAAUCAUAAGGAAAAGAUUGACAAUUCUGAGUGCAUCAAAAGACACCAAAAACAGCUAAAAUGAAAAAUUGGGGGAAAAAGUUAAGUUUAUAUGGCAGAAAAAAAAGUUAAUAUUCUUAAUGCAUAAAGAGCUUCUGCAAAUAAAUUAUGAAAAAGGUAACCAACUUGAUAGAUAAAUGAGCAAAGGACAUGAAGAGGCAAUUCAAAGAAAUGCAAAUGACCAAUAAGCAUUUGAAAAGGCCUCAGACUCAGGAACAAUCAAAGGAAUGCAAAUUAAAGUGAAAUGACUUUUUUUUUUUUUUUUUUUUUUUUGCGGUACGCGGGCCUUUCCCAUUGCGGAGCACAGGCUCCGGACGCGCAGGCUCAGCGGCCAUGGCUCACGGGCCCAGCCGCUCCGCGGCAUGUGGAAUCCUCCUGGACCGGGGCGCGAACCCAUGUCCCCUGCGUCGGCAGGCGGACUCCCAACCACUGCGCCACCAGGGAAGCCCAAAAUGACUUUUUUUUAUGUUAGACUGGGCAGUGUGAGGAAACAAACUGUUGGUGACAAUGUAAAUUUGUACAGCUUUUCUGAAGGUUAGUUAGAUUAUAUUUAUUAAAAAAAAAUUUUAGGUUAUGCAAAUGAAAAUUUAUUUAGAUUGAGGAAAAAAUCUCAAAUAUGACAAUAUUUUAGGACUAAAAGUACUAUAAAUAUCAUAAAAAUCUAGGAAAAUGGUAUAUUAUGCUUAUUAACUAAUUGUCUCACUCACCUCUAGGAUGCCUUUUUCCAUAUAUGUUUUGGCUACAACACUUUGAUCUCCUCUUCACAACAGUUUUGUAAUCAUAUUUCUUUCUUUUUUUAAAAAUUUAUUUUUUAUUGAGGUGACAUUUGUUUAUAACAGUAUAUGUUUCGUAUGUACAACAUUAUAUUUCUACUUCUAUGUACGCUGCAGUGUGCUCGCCACCAAAAAUUUAGUUUUCAUUUGUCACCCAUACAGUUGAUCCCCUGUACCCAUUUCAUCUUCCCUCCAUACCCCCAACCCACCCAGGCCCUUGCCACAUGGUAACUACUACUCUGUUCUCAGUAUGUACAUGUUUGUUUUUGUUUUGGUUUGGUUUGGUCAUUUAUUUAUUUUUGUUUGUUUUUUAUAUUGCACAUAUGAGUAAAUCAUACAAUAUUUGUC